rnacentral:rRNA from 1 species
CAGCCGCCGCGGUAAUACGAAGGGUGCAAGCGUUAAUCGGAAUUACUGGGCGUAAAGCGUGCGUAGGCGGUGAGUUAAGUCUGCUGUGAAAUCCCCGGGCUCAACCUGGGAAUGGCAGUGGAUACUGGCUCGCUAGAGUGUGUCAGAGGAUGGUGGAAUUCCCGGUGUAGCGGUGAAAUGCGUAGAGAUCGGGAGGAACAUCAGUGGCGAAGGCGGCCAUCUGGGACAACACUGACGCUGAGGCACGAGAGCGUGGGGAGCAAACAGGAUUAGAUACCCCCGUAGUCCCUGUCUCUUAUAU